rnacentral:tRNA from 1 species
UGGGGCUUAGCUCAGAUGGGAGAGCGCCUGCUUUGCACGCAGGAGGUCAUCGGUUCGAUCCCGUUAGCCUCCA